rnacentral:antisense_RNA from 3 species
CUUGAGCGAGCCCAGCCACAGCGGCUCGUCGCCGCCGCGCUCCUGCCCGUAGGUGGCGAGGAGGGCCUGCGCCUC